rnacentral:rRNA from 1 species
CCCGCCGCGCGCGGCGGGCGGGGCGGGGGCACGGGGGGCCUACGGGAGGCAGCAGUAGGGAAUCUUCGGCAAUGGGGGCAACCCUGACCGAGCAACGCCGCGUGAGUGAAGAAGGUUUUCGGAUCGUAAAGCUCUGUUGUAAGUCAAGAACGGGUGUGAGAGUGGAAAGUUCACACUGUGACGGUAGCUUACCAGAAAGGGACGGCUAACUACGUGCCAGCAGCCGCGGUAAU